rnacentral:rRNA from 1 species
UACGUAGGGUGCGAGCGUUAAUCGGAAUUACUGGGCGUAAAGCGUGCGCAGGCGGUGAGCUGUGUCCGAUGUGAAAGCCCCGGGCUUAACCUGGGAAUGGCAUUGGAAACUGGCUCGCUGGAGUGUGGCAGAGGGGGGUGGAAUUCCGCGUGUAGCAGUGAAAUGCGUAGAGAUGCGGAGGAACACCGAUGGCGAAGGCAGCCCCCCUGGGCUAACACUGACGCUCGAGGCACGAAAGCGUGGGGAGCAAACAGG